rnacentral:rRNA from 1 species
GAUCAUGGCUCAGAUUGAACACUGGCGGCAUGCCUAACACAUGCAAGUCGAACGAGACCUUCGGGUCUAGUGGCGCACGGGUGCGUAACGCGUGGGAAUCUGCCCUUGGGUUCGGAAUAACAGUUAGAAAUGACUGCUAAUACCGGAUAAUGUCUUCGGACCAAAGAUUUAUCGCCCAGGGAUGAGCCCGCGUAGGAUUAGCUAGUUGGUGAGGUAAAGGCUCACCAAGGCGACGAUCCUUAGCUGGUCUGAGAGGAUGAUCAGCCACACUGGGACUGAGACACGGCCCAGACUCCUACGGGAGGCAGCAGUGGGGAAUAUUGGACAAUGGGCGAAAGCCUGAUCCAGCAAUGCCGCGUGAGUGAUGAAGGCCUUAGGGUUGUAAAGCUCCUUUACCCGGGAUGAUAAUGACAGUACCGGGAGAAUAAGCCCCGGCUAACUCCGUG